UACGUAGGGGGCUAGCGUUGUCCGGAAUCAUUGGGCGUAAAGAGCGCGUAGGCGGCUAGAUAAGUCCGGUGUGAAAGUCACAGGCUCAACCUGUGAAUGCCGCUGGAAACUGUCUGGCUAGAGUCCGGAAGGGGCGAGUGGAAUUCCUGGUGUAGCGGUGAAAUGCGCAGAUAUCAGGAGGAACACCAAUGGCGAAGGCAGCUCGCUGGGACGGUACUGACGCU
rnacentral:rRNA from 1 species